rnacentral:rRNA from 1 species
GAAUUAUUGGGCGUAGAGGGCUCGCAGGCGGUUUCUUAAGUCUGAUGUGAAAGCCCCCGGCUCAACCGGGGAGGGUCAUUGGAAACUGGGGAACUUGAGUGCAGAAGAGGAGAGUGGAAUUCCACGUGUAGCGGUGAAAUGCGUAGAGAUGUGGAGGAACACCAGUGGCGAAGGCGACUCUCUGGUCUGUAACUGACGCUGAGGAGCGAAAGCGUGGGGAGCGAACAGGAUUAGAUACCCUGGUAGUCCACGCCGUAAACGAUGAGUGCUAAGUGUUAGGGGGUUUCCGCCCCUUAGUGCUGCAGCUAACGCAUUAAGCACUCCGCCUGGGGAGUACGGUCGCAAGACUGAAACUCAAAGGAAUUGACGGGGGCCCGCACAAGCGGUGGAGCAUGUGGUUUAAUUCGAAGCAACGCGAAGAACCUUACCAGGUCUUGACAUCCUCUGACAAUCCUAGAGAUAGGACGUCCCCUUCGGGGGCAGAGUGACAGGUGGUGCAUGGUUGUCGUCAGCUCGUGUCGUGAGAUGUUGGG